rnacentral:lncRNA from 1 species
UGUGUAUUUGCUAACUUAUUGCAUGAAUGCAUCCUGGAUGUUGUGUAUGUUGGGUAUUGAGAUGUCUAUAAUGAGGAGAUCAAUUACAUAUAUAAUACUGGCUACCACCACGGAUACUCAAGGACAUUCAUCAGAGCAAUCCAUAAUCAAGUCUAAAAACCAGUAACACCAAAUCUGCCAACAGCAGCACAGCUGACGAAUGAUGAUAACCAUGAAUGUCAAUACAUAGCCGUUCCCUAUGCUCUAAAAAACAUCAAUGUAAUAAAGGAGAUAAUGAAAACUACACAAAAGAAACCAGCAUAUAAGAGAAAUCCAACCAUUUUCAACAUGUUGAGAAACAAGGAGGACAAACGAAAAGACAUAGAAAGGUGUGUACGAAAACACUCAGCAGCAAUCAUCCUACAUAGCUACAUAGGCGUCACAACCAGAAAUCUAAGCCAAAGGAUAAAGGAACAUAAAGAUGAUAUUAAAAAAGGAAGGCUUCAUAUGGCC